rnacentral:rRNA from 1 species
GUCGAGCGGAGAGGGAGCUUGCUCCUGGAUUCAGCGGCGGACGGGUGAGUAAUGCCUAGGAAUCUGCCUGGUAGUGGGGGACAACGUUUCGAAAGGAACGCUAAUACCGCAUACGUCCUACGGGAGAAAGCAGGGGACCUUCGGGCCUUGCGCUAUCAGAUGAGCCUAGGUCGGAUUAGCUAGUUGGUGAGGUAAUGGCUCACCAAGGCGACGAUCCGUAACUGGUCUGAGAGGAUGAUCAGUCACACUGGAACUGAGACACGGUCCAGACUCCUACGGGAGGCAGCAGUGGGGAAUAUUGGACAAUGGGCGAAAGCCUGAUCCAGCCAUGCCGCGUGUGUGAAGAAGGUCUUCGGAUUGUAAAGCACUUUAAGUUGGGAGGAAGGGUUGUAGAUUAAUACUCUGCAAUUUUGACGUUACCGACAGAAUAAGCACCGGCUAACUCUGUGCCAGCAGCCGCGGUAAUACAGAGGGUGCAAGCGUUAAUCGGAAUUACUGGGCGUAAAGCGCGCGUACGUGGUUUGUUAAGUUGGAUGUGAAAUCCCCGGGCUCAACCUGGGAACUGCAUCCAAAACUGGCAAGCUAGAGUAUGGUAGAGGGUGGUGGAAUUUCCAUGUGUAGCGGUGAAAUGCGUAGAUAUA